rnacentral:rRNA from 1 species
GAUGAACGCUGGCGGCGUGCCUAAUACAUGCAAGUCGAGCGAACAGACGAGGAGCUUGCUCCUUUGACGUUAGCGGCGGACGGGUGAGUAACACGUAGGUAACCUACCUAUAAGACUGGGAUAACUUCGGGAAACCGGAGCUAAUACCGGAUAAUAUUUCGAACCGCAUGGUUCGGUAGUGAAAGAUGGCUUUGCUAUCACUUAUAGAUGGACCUGCGCCGUAUUAGCUAGUUGGUAAGGUAACGGCUUACCAAGGCAACGAUACGUAGCCGACCUGAGAGGGUGAUCGGCCACACUGGAACUGAGACACGGUCCAGACUCCUACGGGAGGCAGCAGUAGGGAAUCUUCCGCAAAGGGCGAAAGCCUGACGGAGCAACGCCGCGUGAGUGAUGAAGGUCUUCGGAUCGUAAAACUCUGUUAUUAGGGAAGAACAAACGUGUAAGUAACUGUGCACGUCUUGACGGUACCUAAUCAGAAAGCCACGGCUAACUACGUG